GAUGGCUGGGCCCAAAUGCAACUCGCUUACGGCGUGUUUGACCAAGGGCUCGGCCACCCUCCUUGAGAUUCCCAACCCAAAGAAGGGACCUCCUUCACCAUAUACACCUGUCAGGACCUGGAAUGGGCUGAGGUUGGAGUAAAAGACUGGAAACUCCGGAAGAACCUUCUGAAUAAAGCAAGUCAAAGAAGAGCAAAUAAUUUAUGGCAAAUUAAGCUAUUAUAAGCCAAGAAAUUUUGUUUCUGUGAUCAGUUAAGUUCAAUACAGACCACUGGAUAACAAGCCAGUCUUUCUGUUCCUAU